CCUACGGGAGGCAGCAGUAGGGAAUUUUGCGCAAUGGGGGAAAUCCUGACGCAGCAACGCCGCGUGAGUGAUGAAGCCCUCCGGGGUGUAAAGAUCUGUCAGUCGGGGCGAAACUUGACGGUAGCCACAGAGGAAGCAUCGACUAACUCAGUGCGCGCAGCCGCGGUAAGACGGGGGAUGCAAGCGUGGUCCGGAAUCAUUGGGCGUAAAAGGUUCGUUGGGGGCACGUUAAGUCUGGUGUUAAAUGCUGGGGCUCAACCUCUGUUCGGCAUUGGAAACUGGCGGUCUUGAAUGCGGUAGAGGUAAAGGGAAUUCCUGGUGUAGCGGUGAAAUGCGUAGAUAUCAGGAGGAACAUCGUUGGCGAAAGCGCUUUACUGGGCCGUAAUUGACACUGAGGAACGAAAGCCAGGGUAGCAAAUGGGAUUAGAUACCCUAGUAGUC
rnacentral:rRNA from 1 species